rnacentral:rRNA from 1 species
UGAAUACGAGACGCUACGGCGUCGAAGCAGUCUAUGUCAUACUUCCAAGAAAAGCUCGCAAUGUCAUAAACAAAUAAUGCCUGUACCAUAACCGACACAGGUGGGUAGGUAGAGUAUACUAAGGGGCGCGAGAUAACUCUCUCUAAGGAACUCGGCAAAAUGACUCCGUAACUUCGGGAGAAGGAGUGCCUUAUUUAUAAGGUUGCAAUAACAAGAUCCAAGCAACUGUUUAUCAAAAAUACAGGUCUCCGCUAAGUCGUAAGACGAUGUAUGGGGGCUGACGCCUGCCCAGUGCCAGAAGGUUAAAGAAGUUGGUUAGCAUUCGCGAAGCUGAUAACUGAAGCCCUGGUGAACGGCGGCCGUAACUAUAACGGUCCUAAGGUAGCGAAAUUCCUUGUCGGGUAAGUUCCGACCCGCACGAAAGGCGUAAUGAUUUGGAUACUGUCUCGGAGAGGGGCUCGGUGAAAUAGACUUGUCUGUGAAGAUGCGGACUACCUGCACCUGGACAGAAAGACCCUAUGAAGCUUUACUGUAACUUGAAAUUGAAAUUGGACUUUAUUUGCGCAGCAUAGGUGGGAGGCGUUGAGAGUAUUCUUGCGGGAAUAUUGGAGCCAUCAGUGAGAUACCACUCUUGUAAUGUUAGAUUUCUAACUUUGGAUCAUUAUCUGGUCAAAGAACAGUUUCAGGCGGGCAGUUUGACUGGGGCGGUCGCCUCCCAAAUGGUAACGGAGGCGUACAAAGGUUUCCUCUGAACGGGUAGAAAUCGUAUCUAGAGUGUAAAGGCAUAAGGAAGCUUGACUGUGAGACCUACAAGUCGAGCAGGGACGAAAGUCGGUCUUAGUGAUCUGACGGUGCUGAGUGGAAAGGCCGUCACUCAACGGAUAAAAGUUACUCUAGGAUAACAGGCUGAUCUCCCCCAAGAGUUCACAUCGACGGGGAGGUUUGGCACCUCGAUGUCGGCUCAUCGCAUCCUGGGGCGGUAGUACGUCCCAAGGGUUGGGCUGUUCGCCCAUGAAAGCGGUACGCGAGCUGGGUUCAGAACGUCGUGAGACAGUUCGGUCCAUAUCCGGUGUAGGCGUUAGAAUAUUGAGAGGAGCCUUCUUUAGUACGAGAGGACCGAGAAGGACAUACCUCUGGUGUACCAGUUAUCGUGCCAACGGUAAACGCUGGGUAGCUAUGUAUGGAGAGGAUAACCGCUGAAAGCAUCUAAGUGGGAAGCCCACCUCAAGAUAAGUAUUCUCAUC